GAAGUUGCUUUGAACUCUGUUAGCUUUUCUCUCACUAUCUUUUUCCCCAGGGUUCUUCUCUCACUAUCUUUUUCCCAGACAGGGUAAUAGGAAUAGAAUGAAUUUUGUUUCCCUGAAACUCUGAAUUUAUAACCUGAUUUUUUGUGGACCUGUGGGCUCAAAUGAGAGAGGUCCAAGUCCAUGAUUUUUUCUUUUAUUUAUUUUAUUUUAUUUUUCAUUUUCCGUUUUUUUUUCUUCUUUUUUUUUCAAAACACGUGGGCUUCGCCUAGCGAGCAUGACAGCUCAUGAACAAACCUUUGCUCCUUCAAGAUUAACGUUUUGACUGACG
rnacentral:lncRNA from 1 species